rnacentral:rRNA from 1 species
UACAGAGGGGGCAAGCGUUUGUUCGGAAUUACUGGGCGUAAAGGGCGCGUAGGUGGCCUUCUAAGUUGAACGUGAAAUCCCUGGGCUCAACCCAGGAACUGCGUCCAAGACUGGGAGGCUUGAAUCCGGGAGAGGGAUGCGGAAUUCCAGGUGUAGCGGUGAAAUGCGUAGAUAUCUGGAGGAACACCGGUGGCGAAGGCGGCAUCCUGGACCGGUAUUGACACUGAGGCGCGAAAGCUAGGGGAGUAAACGGG